rnacentral:lncRNA from 1 species
AAAGGCCAGGAUUACUGAGGCCCCGUCAGUAACGACACACCAGAGACGACAACGUCAUCUACCCCGCAAGAACAUUGAAACGUCAUCAUGAAAAUGAGACUUCUUCUCUUCUUGGGAUUGUUAAUCCACUUGGCCUACACCGAGACAACAGAGGACACUACUGAAAACACUACCGAGGACAAUGCCGAGGACAAUACCGAGGCCACUACUGAGGCCACUACCGAAAACACUACAGAAGACGGUAACAUUGGCGACACCGAAGACACAACUGAAGACGAUACCGAGGACACAACAGAAGACGAUGAUGUCACAGAUGACACCACCGAGAUGACCGCGUUCCCAGCAGCCACUGAACCACAUAAGGGGGAUCCCGACCUGUCGGAAGAAGUGUAUGACAUGGAAUUCCAAUAGCAUCGUCCAUACAACAACCUUUUUCUACCGCAGCGGUAACAUGUGUCUGAGUCAACAGCGGAUGGAAAAAAUUGUUUCUUAUGUGUCAUGCUGCUUACUUUCCGUUAAGUAUCAAUAAAGUUCUUAACAAGCA